AAGUGUGGACGCCAGUCUGCAUGGAGCCGACCUUGAAAUACCACCCUUUAAUGUUUGAUGUUCUAACGUUGACCCGUAAUCCGGGUUGCGGACAGUGUCUGGUGGGUAGUUUGACUGGGGCGGUCUCCUCCUAAAGAGUAACGGAGGAGCACGAAGGUUGGCUAAUCCUGGUCGGACAUCAGGAGGUUAGUGCAAUGGCAUAAGCCAGCUUGACUGCGAGCGUGACGGCGCGAGCAGGUGCGAAAGCAGGUCAUAGUGAUCCGGUGGUUCUGAAUGGAAGGGCCAUCGCUCAACGGAUAAAAGGUACUCCGGGGAUAACAGGCUGAUACCGCCCAAGAGUUCAUAUCGACGGCGGUGUUUGGCACCUCGAUGUCGGCUCAUCACAUCCUGGGGCUGAAGUAGGUCCCAAGGGUAUGGCUGUUCGCCAUUUAAAGUGGUACGCGAGCUGGGUUUAGAACGUCGUGAGACAGUUCGGUCCCUAUCUGCCGUGGGCGCUGGAGAACUGAGGGGGGCUGCUCCUAGUACGAGA
rnacentral:rRNA from 1 species